rnacentral:rRNA from 1 species
CAGUAGCCGCGGGAAAACGUAGGUGGCAAGCGUUAUCCGGAAUUAUUGGGCGUAAAGCGCGCGUAGGCGGUUUUUUAAGUCUGAUGUGAAAGCCCACGGCUCAACCGUGGAGGGUCAUUGGAAACUGGAAAACUUGAGUGCAGAAGAGGAAAGUGGAAUUCCAUGUGUAGCGGUGAAAUGCGCAGAGAUAUGGAGGAACACCAGUGGCGAAGGCGACUUUCUGGUCUGUAACUGACGCUGAUGUGCGAAGGCGUGGGGAUCAAACAGGAUUAGAUACCCGCGUAGUCCCUGUCUCUUAUAC